rnacentral:rRNA from 1 species
CCUACGGGAGGCAGCAGUGGGGAAUCUUGCGCAAUGGGCGAAAGCCUGACGCAGCAACGCCGCGUGCGGGAUGAAGGCCUUCGGGCUGUAAACCGCUUUCAGCAGGAACGAAAAUGACGGUACCUGCAGAAGAAGGAGCGGCCAACUACGUGCCAGCAGCCGCGGUGACACGUAGGCUCCAAGCGUUGUCCGGAUUUAUUGGGCGUAAAGAGCUCGUAGGCGGUCUAAUAAGUCGGGUGUGAAAACUCUGGGCUCAACCCGGAGACGCCAUCCGAUACUGUUAUGACUUGAGUUCAGGAGGGGAGCGGGGAAUUCCUAGUGUAGCGGUGAAAUGCGCAGAUAUUAGGAGGAACACCGGUGGCGAAGGCGCCGCUCUGGACUGAAACUGACGCUGAGGAGCGAAAGCAUGGGUAGCAAACAGGAUUAGAUACCCUGGUAGUCCAUGCCGUAAACGGUGGGCACUAGGUGUGGGUUUCGACUAACGAAAUCCGCGCCGUCGCUAACGCAUAAGUGCCCGCCUGGGGNGAGUCGCGAGANAACACAAGAGUAAGUGNGNGNGAGNGCGACGACGACGACGAGGAGGAGGAG